rnacentral:rRNA from 1 species
AUGUCGGGGGCGUACGGAUCCGACGACUACCGCGGCGGCGGCGGCGGCGGCUACGGCGGCCGAGGCGGCGGCGGCGGCGGAGGUGGUCGUGGGCGCGGCGGUGGGGGAGGAUAUGGCGGCAGCGGUGGCGGUGGUGGAGGAUAUGGAGGUGGUGGCGGUGGGGGAGGGUACGGCGGUGGCGGGAGAGGGGGUGGUGGUGGUGGAGGAGGCUACGGCGGCGGCGGUGGCGGGAGAGGUGGCGGGCGCGGGGGUGGACGCGAAGGCGACUGGACUUGCCCUGAUGCAAGCUGUCUUAAUGUGAACUUUGCAAGGAGGACUGAGUGCAAUAAGUGUGGGGCAGUUAACCCAAGUGGAGGUGGAGGUGGUGGUGGUGGCGGCGGGUACGAUAGGUCUGGUGGAGGUGGAGGGUACAAUCGUGGUGGUGGUGAUCAUGGUUCAGGAGGUGGUGGCUACAGCAGAGGUGAUGGGGAUUACAACUCUGGUGGUCGUGAUGGUGGUGCUGGAGGAGCAAGAGGAGGAUAUAAUCGUGAUGGUGGUAGCGGCCGUGGUUUUGAUGACCACCGUGGUGGGAGCGGUGGUGGUUAUGGAAGAGGCCAAGAGAACAACCAAGGUGACGGUGGCUAUGGACAGGCUCCCCCUAAAGGCCCUCCAUCCUAUGGCGCUCCUCCAGGUGACUACGCACCGCCCCCAAGUUCCUAUGGAGGCAACAAUGUGUACAGUUCAGACUCUGCAGUGCCACCCCCUAACAGCUAUGGUGGCGGUCGAGGCCCUUACCCACCAAGCUAUGGUGCCCCACCUCCGAACCCAUAUAGUGGCGGUGCCCCAGGGGGGCAAGGAGGCCUGCCACCUACAUAUGAUGGUGGUUAUGGUGGUCGGUCUGCGCCUGGGGGUGGAGGCGCAGGUGGUGCUCCACCUUCUUAUCAUGGUGGAGGCGGAGGCGGCGGUGGUUAUUCUGCAAAUGCUGCCCCUGAACCUACUACAAAGGUUAAGCAGUGUGAUGCAAACUGUGAUGAUUCCUGCGACAAUGCAAGGAUUUACAUCUCAAACCUGCCUCCAGAUGUGACUGUUGAGGAACUGCAAGAGCUUUUUGGAGGAAUUGGCCAGGUUGGAAGGAUCAAGCAAAAACGUGGCUACAAAGACCAGUGGCCCUGGAACAUAAAAAUCUACACUGAUGAUUCUGGGAAAGCCAAAGGAGAUGCUUGCCUUGCUUAUGAAGAUCCUUCUGCUGCUCAUUCAGCUGGAGGAUUCUACAACGAUUAUGACAUGAGAGGCCGUAAAAUUAGUGUUGUGAUGGCUGAGAAAUCAGCACCUAGAGCUCCUACAUCUGGCCAUGGAGGCGGACGCGGUGGAGGCGGUGGCUAUGGCGGGGACAGACGCAGAGAUGGAGGAGGCCAUGGGCCUAACAGAAACCAGGGUGGUGGUUCACGUUCGCGGCCGUACUGA